GCAAUACUCUAGUGGCGAACGGGUGAGUAACACGUAGGAAACCUGCCUCAAAGUCGAGGAUAACUACUGGAAACGGUAGCUAAAACUGGAUAGGAUAUAUUAAGGCAUCUUGAUAUAUUUAAAAGUCCUUCUGGGAAUGCUUUGAGAUGGUCCUGCGGCGCAUUAGCUAGUUGGUGAGGUAGUAGCUUACCAAGGCGACGAUGCGUAGCUGAGCUGAGAGGCCAAACAGCCACACUGGGACUGAGACACGGCCCAGACUCCUACGGGAGGCAGCAGUAGGGAAUUUUCGGCAAUGGGGGAAACCCUGACCGAGCAAUGCCGCGUGAAUGAUGAAAUUCUUCGGAAUGUAAAAUUCUGUUGUGAGGGAAGAAAGGUAGUAUCAGGAAAUGGGUAUUACUUGACGGUACCUUACUAGAAAGCCCCGGCUAACUAUGUGCCAGCAGCCGCGGUAAUACAUAGGGGGCGAGCGUUAUCCGGAAUUAUUGGGCGUAAAGCGUGCGUAGGCGGUCGUUUAAGUCUGUCGUGAAAGCCCACAGCUUAACUGUGGAGGGUCGAUGGAAACUGGAUGGCUUGAAUCUAGAAGAGGUAAGUGGAAUUCCAUGUGUAGCGGUAAAAUGCUUAGAUAUAUGGAGGAACACCAGUGGCGAAGGCGGCUUACUGGUCUAGCAUUGACGCUGAGGCACGAAAGCGUAGGUAGCAAACAGGAUUAGAUACCCUGGUAGUCUACGCUGUAAACGAUGAGCACUAAGUGUCGGACGUAAGUUCGGUGCUGUAGUUAACGCAUUAAGUGCUCCGCCUGGGGAGUAC
rnacentral:rRNA from 1 species